UUUAGUCCCCUGCUCAUGAGUAUUUAAAUAGCCGCAGAAAUUUAACUGUGCUAAGGUAGCAUAAUCAUUAGUCCCUUAAUUAGGGACUCGUAUGAAAGGUGAAACAUUUCAAUUCCUAUUUUUCUCAAUAUUAUUAAACCUGAACCAAGAAUAAAAAUGUUCUUAUCUAAAAAAUAGACGAUAAGACCCUAUUGAACUUCACUUAAGUUUAGCUGGGGUAGCUAAAAAAUAAUAAUCUUUCUAAUUUUUAAUAAAUAAAUAACCCAAUAAAAUUGAAUUUUGAACAAGUUACCAUAGGGAUAACAGCGUAAUAUCUUUUUAAAGUUCUUAUUUAAAAAAAUGUUUGCGACCUCGAUGUUGAAUUAGUGUAACUUUAAUAAUGCAACAAUUUUAAAAGUAGGUCUGUUCGACCUAUAAAACACUACAUGAUCUGAGUUCCAAACCGGA
rnacentral:rRNA from 1 species